rnacentral:rRNA from 1 species
AGAGUUUGAUCCUGGCUCAGAUUGAACGCUGGCGGAAUGCUUUACACAUGCAAGUCGAACGGCAGCACGGGAGCUUGCUCCUGGUGGCGAGUGGCGAACGGGUGAGUAAUAUAUCGGAACGUAUCCAAUAAUGGGGGAUAACUAGUCGAAAGAUUAGCUAAUACCGCAUACGCCCUGAGGGGGAAAGCUGGGGAUCUUCGGACCUAGCGUUAAUGGAGCGGCCGAUAUCUGAUUAGCUAGUAGGUGAGGUAAAGGCUCACCUAGGCUUCGAUCAGUAGCUGGUCUGAGAGGACGACCAGCCACACUGGAACUGAGACACGGUCCAGACUCCUACGGGAGGCAGCAGUGGGGAAUUUUGGACAAUGGGCGCAAGCCUGAUCCAGCCAUUCCGCGUGAGUGAAGAAGGCCUUCGGGUUGUAAAGCUCUUUCGCAAGGGAAGAAAACUUAACCUCUAACAUAGGUUGAGGCUGACGGUACCUUGAUAAGAAGCACCGGCUAACUACGUGCCAGCAGCCGCGGUAAUACGUAGGGUGCGAGCGUUAAUCGGAAUUACUGGGCGUAAAGCGUGCGCAGGCGGCCUGAUAAGUCAGAUGUGAAAUCCCCGAGCUCAACUUGGGAACUGCGUUUGAAACUAUCAAGCUAGAAUAUGUCAGAGGGGGGUAGAAUUCCACGUGUAGCAGUGAAAUGCGUAGAGAUGUGGAGGAAUACCAAUGGCGAAGGCAGCCCCCUGGGAUAAUAUUGACGCUCAUGCACGAAAGCGUGGGGAGCAAACAGGAUUAGAUACCCUGGUAGUCG